GCACGUUAGCCGCCCAGGCCACGCCGCCCACUCUGGUAGCGUUGCUGGAUGAUGAUAAUACUGGCAUCCGUGACGCCAGCCAAUAGCUCCAACUGAAAACUCUCGCUGAGCUAAAUCAAGACAGAAUGCAUGUUCGUGGACCUACGUCUCAGUUUUUAGGUUGAAAAUAGCCCUGGAAACGCGGAAACUUAACACAGCCUUUGAUGCAAGGAAAUAUCCGACGGCGAUCGAUAAACUUCGAGGAUCUGAGCAAAAACCUUGUGGAAAUGGUCAAAAACCCGCUGAGGGAUUUGUGACAGACACCUAGAUGAAAUUAACAUUCGGCAACAAGGAGCCCAAAGCUAAGGUGGCACCUCUCUCGCUUUUCACACGGAAGCCUGUUCGGCAAUUGUUGGUACCGAUCGAAAGCUUUCAACGAGCUGAAUCGUGUUUUACUUACUAGAUCGAAAACGGCGUU